UUUCCAAAUUUUGCCGGUUUCAUUUAUUUUAUUUUCCUUUGAAAACACGUUCUUCGUGGUUGUAGUACACUGACAAGCCGCCAGAGGGCACCUUUGACCAUUUGUAGCUAUAACACACCAGCCUGCCGCCAGGGGACAAUGGUAUAAAAAUGUUGACAAUGGUUAAAAAAAAGGGAAGUCUUGACGAGACCAAAGCCAGGGUCACAUCCAUCUUUGGUGACAUCUUGAAGCUUGACUCCAGCAUGAAGGUCACCAAAAAGCUUGCAGGCGGUGACACUGGGAUGGCCACCUGGAUCACGAACGUUGGCAAUGAGUACGGGCAGGACGCAGCCGAGGGGGACGGACUUGACAACAUAAUGGUGGACUGAUGCUGUCGUGCUGGUACCUUCGCAUCUGGGUCCUGGUUUACGCCCACGGGACAAGGCAGCUGUGACAUCCUGACAGUGAAGACAGAGAAGAAGAGGAGAGGAGUUGACAGGAGAGGAAGAUGGCGUCCAUCCCCUGUGCUCUGUGUGUGUUGCUGAUCUGCCUGUCAGGACCACAUGGAUUUAUGAAGAAGCUGCCUGCAAAUAUGAGCAGGCAGGAGCAAAG
ensembl:lncRNA